rfam:Gammaproteobacteria bacterium Q1 genomic scaffold scaffold7, whole genome shotgun sequence.
GGGUCAUUAGCUCAGUUGGUAGAGCAGUUGACUUUUAAUCAAUUGGUCGCUGGUUCGAAUCCAGCAUGACCCA